UAGUUUCUGCGGUGUGCGUUAUUCUCAUAUAAUUCAACCGACAUGUCUUAUACGGGAGUUCGUUGUUCGGGGGUCAAUGACAAGCCUUUCAUGAAAGGUAGUCAGAAGCCUUUGACGGGACACCCACCUGCAAUUAUGCGGGUGUGAAUUAGUUGAGAGGACGGCAUUGCGGGAAUACA
rnacentral:other from 1 species